rnacentral:misc_RNA from 1 species
UGUGACAGAGAAGACCCUAUGAAGCUUGACUGUAUCUUGGAAUUGGGUUCGGGCUUAUCUUGCGCAGACUAGGUGGGAGGCUAUGAAGAUUUCCUUCCGGGGAAGUUGGAGCCAACAGUGAGAGACCACUCUGGAGAGGCUAGAAUCCUAAUGGUGAUCCUUGAAUCAGGACACUUGACAGUUUCAGGUGGGCAGUUUUUCUGGGGCGGAAGCCUCAUAAAAGGUAACUGAGGCGCGCAAUGGUCCCCUCAGUCUGGACGGAAAUCAGACAUUGAGUGUAAAGGCAAAAGGGGGCUUGACUGCAAGACCUACAAGUCGAGCAGGAGCGAAAGCUGGCCUUAGUGAUCCGACGGUGCCGUGUGGAAGGGCCGUCGCUCAACGAAUAAAAGUUACUCUAGGGAUAACA